GGAAUAGCUCAGUGGGUAGAGUAUGAAACUCUCAAUUUCGGGGUCUUGGGUUUGAGCCCCACUUUGGAUA